rnacentral:rRNA from 1 species
AACGUAGGGGACAAGCGUUAUCCGGAUUUACUGGGCGUAAAGCGCCCGUAGGCGGCCUGACAAGUUGGACGUGAAAGCUCCUGGCUUAACUGGGAGAGGCCGUUCAAAACUGUCAAGCUAGAGUCUGGAAGAGGAGAGCGGAAUUCCCGGUGUAGCGGUGGAAUGCGUAGAGAUCGGGAGGAACACCAGUGGCGAAAGCGGCUCUCUGGUCCAAAACUGACGCUGAGGGGCGAAAGCGUGGGGAGCGAACGGG